UACAGAGGUCCCGAGCGUUGUCCGGAAUUACUGGGCGUAAAGAGCUCGUAGGUGGUUUGUCGCGUUGUUCGUGAAAACUCACAACUCAAUUGUGGGCGUGCGGGCGAUACGGGCAGACUGGAGUACUGCAGGGGAGACUGGAAUUCCUGGUGUAGCGGUGGAAUGCGCAGAUAUCAGGAGGAACACCGGUGGCGAAGGCGGGUCUCUGGGCAGUAACUGACGCUGAGGAGCGAAAGCGUGGGGAGCGAACAGG
rnacentral:rRNA from 1 species